UACGUAGGGUGCGAGCGUUGUCCGGAAUUACUGGGCGUAAAGAGCUCGUAGGUGGUUUGUCGCGUUGUUCGUGAAAACUCACAGCUCAACUGUGGGCGUGCGGGCGGUACGGGCAGACUGGAGUACUGCAGGGGAGACUGGAAUUCCUGGUGUAGCGGUGGAAUGCGCAGAUAUCAGGAGGAACACCGGUGGCGAAGGCGGGUCUCUGGGCCGAUACUGACGCUGAGGAGCGAAAGCGUGGGGAGCGAACAGG
rnacentral:rRNA from 1 species